ensembl:lncRNA
AUGUGCACACAAUGCAAAACACAUGGUCUUAGCUGUUAUUUAUGUUUUGCUUUCCAGUCAAUAUAUCAGAAGAUCCUUAAAAAUGUAUAUACAGUACUUUUCAAAACUGUGGGUUCAGUAGGAUUUUUUAAUGAAGAAAAUGCGACAGUGGAGACUACACUGUUGCAAAAAAGCAGAGCGCAGUGUUAUCCAACGCGAGCUCUGCUUUGCUGCAGGCGGCUCCAUCCCAAACCUCAGCCCUAUCUUGAACAAACAUCACACAGCCGAGAUGAAAAAGAGGGAAAUCGAUGCAGGGGAGAGCGCGCCGUGUAGAGAGCCUGGCUUUGCUUUGAUCGAAGGUUGACUGACAAGACCUUCAGCCCUGUGAUCUCCGGCAUGAUGAAGGACCGGAGCCAUGGUGGUGCAACAACGUGUGUUUGUUGUAUUUUGUGUGGUGUAGGUUUUGUGUAUUUGUGUAUAUGUUUUUUUAAAAAAAAAUUACUUGAAAACCUAGCAAGCCGCCUACGGAGGCGGUAUUUUAAAACUUCAUAGGCACUCUCCUGACACAAAAUCUUUUUCAAAAGGUCAUCGUAAUUAUGCUGCUGCCUAAGUUACCAUCUUUAGGUCAAAUUUUCAAGUGGAAUCACUAUGCUACUAUGCUUUGCAUAAAAGACAGAAAUUAUAUUUAUAACAAAUAAUAUAAAUAAAUAAAAACAGCAUUGUUAUUGUUAAAGGAGU